AGCGUCGUACUCGCUUGAUACUAAAAUUGUAACGAUACAGAGAAGAUUAGCAUAGCUCCUGCGCAAGGAUGACAAUUGAAAAAAAAAGGCGAUUAACGCGACU